GUUAUUUGUAAUUCUUCUUUCGAGAUGUGUCUGUUCAGAUCAUUUGCCCAUAUAUUGGUUGGGUUUUUGGAUUUUUGGCAUUAAGUUUUUUAAAGCUCUUUAUAUAUUCUGGAUAUUAAUCUUUUGUUGGAAGAGUAGCUGGAAAAGAUUUUCUCCCAUUCAUUGGGUUCUCUUUUCAUGUCCUUAAUUGUUUCCUUUGUUGUGUAGAAGCUUUACAAUUUUUAUUAUUUUUUAAUUAUUUUUUUAUUUUUUAGUUAUCAAUGGAUGUUUGUUUUGUUUAUUUAUAUGUAGUGCUGAGAAUCAAACCCAGUGCCUCACACAUGGUAGGCAAGCGCUCUACCACAGAGCCACAAUCCCAGCCCCAGCUUUAAAAAUUUGAUGUCAUCCAUUUAUUAACUCUUGGCAUUAUUUUCAGAGCUUUAGGGGUCCUACUGAGAAAGUAAAUUGAUUGCUCCUAUGUAUUGGAGAGUUGACCCUGUUUUCUUUUAGCACUUGCAAAGUUUUCUGGUCUAAUAAGAGUGAUUUUUUUUUAACUUGCAGAGAGUGUUUUAAAAGUAAGAGCUUUGUUUUGUGUCAGAUAAAAUCAAGGAAAGCAGUAUGGAGAUUCCUUGGAAAACUGGGAAUGGAACCACCAUUUGACCCAGCUGUUCCUCUUCUUGGACUAUACCCAAAGGACCUAAAAACAGUAUACUACAGGGACACAGCCACAUCAAUGUUUAUAGCAGCACAAUUCACAAUAGCUAAACUGUGGAGCCAACCUAGAUGUCCUUCAGUGGAUAAGUGGAUGAAUUGAUGAAAAAAAUGUGGCAUUUAUACACAAUGGAAUAUUACUCAGCAAUAAAAAAGAGUAAGAUCAUGGCAUUUGCAGGAAAAUGGAUGGCAUUAGAGAAGAUUAUGCUAAGUGAAGUUAGCCAAUCCCAAUAAAACA
rnacentral:lncRNA from 1 species